GCCGAAGUGGCGGAAUGGCAGACGCGCUAGGUUCAGGACCUAGUGAGGAUUGACCUCGUGAGGGUUCAACUCCCUCCUUCGGCAUCA
rnacentral:tRNA from 1 species